AAGAGUUAAAUCGUGGACACGUAUUUCGUGGUUGUUCGUUUAGUAAGGGUUAGUUGUUGGGCAUUCCCACAAUUAAUUUACAUUACUCAUAAUUGGACUCGAUGUGAAAGAGGCUCAAAACCCCUCAUAUAACAUGAAUAGGGCAACAACUCUAGUAGGAAUAAUAGGGUGUGUCGUUCACCCCACUCCUACUCUAAGUUGGAAGUUGUUUUUCUACCUUCUCUUCCUAUAAAUAGAUGG
rnacentral:lncRNA from 1 species